AUGUUCUCAGACUUUGAAAACUUCAGAAAAUUUUUCACACAAAGAUGCAAGUUAAAAGCACUUAAAAAAAGAAAAAAAAAAAAACUUUUGGAAAAAGUACCUAAGGAUGAAGAUAAACAAAUCCAAGGGAUGCUACAAGAUAUUUGGGCGAUAAAAAGAGAUACUUAUGAGCUCUAGGACAAUCCACAACCUUUGACUCAUCGUUUACACUGGAAGAACAGAACAGAGAUUUGGUUUCCGAGCAUUGGAUCUCAGCCCUUAACUUGCCACCACCCACCUACCUACUUAGCACCACCACCAUAUGAAUUCUGUGUUUUUAUUUUGUGCAGCCAGUCUACAGUAGAUGUGCUUUUAUUCAAAGCUUUUGUUUUCGGAGGUUUUCUUUGUUGUGUUUUU
rnacentral:lncRNA from 1 species